ACAGCAGCUUUAAGUGUGCGCAGCUGGGAGUCAUCAUCUUGAUGCACCUGGUUCACUGGGCGGUGCUACACUCCAUUAUAUCAAGGAGGGCUGCGUGUUCUCUACACACGUCCUCUACCUGAAGCUGAAGUGUUUUCAGCAGUGCUGGUUGCUGUGGCAGUCUUGAGGCGCUGGCGGAGUAUUUUUGUCUACCUACCUGUCAGCUGUCGGUCCAUAUCCUGGCCGAAGGUUGGGAGCCGGGUGUGUGUGGCUUUGGAGCUGGGCAUAACCGAAGCAUCGCCUUGGAUUUGUGAGGUAGGCUGGCUCAUUUGUCAGUUUGACUGCUGGGCUGCACAUGAAUUGACUGCUGUUGGCAGGGAUCGUGCAGGUCUUCUGUGGCUGUCUCCCAUGAUGCCUGAGGAGCUACGGCGUUAUCGAUGAGCAGCUCUACAUCUGAAGCAAGCUGCUGCUGUUCUGUCUCGGCGUUUAUUUCAGCAAAUUCUCGGCUCAUCGGGAAUUGCUGCCUCUGUUUUAUGUUUUAAAGACAAUCCUCAUGUGCGUGUGCCUGUCACCUGGCAUGCCUGUUGUUGUUCUUGUUAAAAAUUAUUAGGAUUGUGUUUUUUGUUUUUUUUUUUUUUUUUCCUUGGAUUCUGUUUAGUUUCUCGGUUAUUUCUUUGGGUUUUGCAUGAUUGUCUUUGAUUUGUUUGGGGUGAACAGGUGGUGAUCUCCAGGGUUCAGUGUGGUGUCAGGGCAGUUUUAGAGAUCUCUGUUCCUGUGGCUAACCGUAUUCCUCUUUCUGUGGACAGGAGCUGUUGGGCCGGCUGACGAGUGGUUGGCUGAUUUUCCCCUUGAGGUGGUGGUCCCUUCACUCCCUGCGUAGUAGAGCACUUGGGUGACCGGCCGUGGUUUUUUUUUUUUUUUUGCACGUGUGGUGUGUCGUAUUUGGACCCUUCCCUUUUUCAGUCAGUCAUUCCAGUCUGGUAAGCCCUGAGUUCAGUAGAUAGAUGCUCGGUGGCUGCACCCUGGAGGUGCUAAAGGAUUGUAUUUAUUUUGCCACCCAUUAUUUGAGCCGUCUCGUGGCACUGCCACAAAGGUUUUUUUUUGUUUGUUUUUUUUAAACUUUGCCAUAUGGUUAUUUUAACAGAUUGAAUAUUGGAAAAAUAAAUUCUAUUUUCUUAGUACA